CUUAAUAGUUCUACCAAUUACAAGCUCUAAUAAAGAUUUAUGGCUAGUGAUGGACCAAGUUGGGCAGAUCAAUGGGGUGCAGGAGGGAUAGGUGCCAUGGAUGAAGAUGACAGCUAUUAUAAGAGCAACAAAGACAGUGAAAACAACAAGAAAGCCACUACUUCAUCAUCAUCAGGAAUUGGCAAAGUCAAAGCUGUGGCAGUGGCUGGUGCACACAAGGUGAAAAAUGGUCCUUCCAUGUUGAUCAAAUGGGUUAGGAGCAAAUCACAGAAGAAAAAUUCCUCCAUUUCAUGAAAUAAGGAGGAUCAAGGAUUAUCUAGCCUUCUGUAAGAGGAUUUCAGAUCAAACAUGUCUAUUUAUGGAUUGUUAUGCUUCGUUAUAACUCGACUUGUUGAGUUUAACCAAUUUCAUUUGGUUAGUGUGGCUAGCUCCUGGUAGUAGUUUGCUUCUGGGUGAGUUUAAGUUCCAUGCACUGAUGAUGUAAAGAAUAUGUAUGCAAUCAGAUUACUAAUAAGGUAAUUACAAAUUGUUCUCUUUAA